CUUGUUCUGCAGUCUGUGUUCCAUGACACUCAGUGGAACAGUUUGGGCAUGUGCGGGAUGUAACACCAGGCAUGGAACAUCUAAAACAGUAGGGACCACCAUCAGUUUUAUUUUUCAGCUGAACUCUUGAUGGCUGUGACAGGCUGGUGCCGAGAACGGAAUGGAGCUCAUGGGCGCGCAGCACCAAAUCCAUUACUGACCUGACAGGUGUUCCAUACAGUGCCACUCUAUACUUCUCUACUGCAUGUUUACAGAUUAGGUUAAUCUGCUCCUGCUCUUUUGAACUCACUGACCAUAUGGGUCACAAAUGUAGGGAGAGGUUCUUCGGGGUGCUGGAAACUGUCUAAGACAGGGAUACCUCUCAUAAUAUUCUCCUGGUUAUCAGUAGGUAAGAAUACAGUUCUGAAAAGUUCACAAAAUUCAGCCCACGUAGAUACAUGAGAGCCGAGAACAUUAAACCAUUUCCUUGGUGCCUUAGCUAGAAAAUGUGGAAGUUCUCUGAGAACCUGUGUGUCUGUUAAGUCCAAAGAAGUCUUGUAAGCAUUGACAGACUGCAACCAUUCCUCUGGGUGAGGACCACUAUCAUUAGUGAACACAGGGGGCUCCAAUUUUGUUUGGUACAACGCAGCAGCGAGCACUCUGGUAGUAUUAAUUAACUCCAGUGAAUCCGAAUGGGUCUGAGACAAAGCCCUCGUGGUCUGAGUGGGGUCGGGUGCUGAGUCGCAUUGUUCUUUUUUUCUGGCGUGUAGACUAGGCACAUAUGGAGUAGAUGACACUUGAGGAAAAGGCUGAGUAAUCUGAGCAACUGGGACUUUAGGGACAGCUUUAGUUUGUUGAGUCCAACGUUCCAAAAUAUUUUUCUGGAGAUCCAAUGAAUCAUGUAAACAUUGUUGAAGCAUGUCCACCUCUUCUUUCAGACUUUGUACUUUAAGUUCCAGGUCAGGGGUUUUGUGCCUGACGGUACUUUGGCUUGGGAGCAACCUAAAGUCCAAAUCAUCACACAGGUCAGCCAAGUCAGGAUGAGUAGCCAUCAUGCACACUUAUGUGAACCCGAGUCUGUGCUAGGAUAAAUUCAGUUCUCUCUUUUCCUUUUAUUUUUUUUCCAAGUACUCACGGCUUCAGUUCGUAUCUUCUCCGAUGGAAGUCUUGCAGCCUUGAUCCGGUACAGAGCUGAGUCCUGUAAGUAAUUACUGGACUCAGUAAUUUCUUACUGGAGAAAAAAAAGGGCCUGCCUCGCGCUUAGCCGAUGAGAGGUUUUCAGCUUUGCUUCACCGUGCACACAUGCACAUUCAGAAAUUAUAAA